rnacentral:rRNA from 1 species
GAUGAACGCUGGCGGCGUGCCUAAUACAUGCAAGUCGAGCGGUAAGGUUCUGCACCCAUUAUUUGACCGGAUAAGUCCCUUUAGGAAACUGUCCGAGCGCGUAGUCUCUAGGCUAGAGACUACAAGUCGAAUACUGAGUGUAGAAUACACGAGCGGCGGACGGCUGAGUAACGCGUAGGAACGUACCCCAAAGUGAGGAAUAAUUGCCCGAAAGGGUAGCUAAUGCCGCAUAGGGUCUUCGGAUUAAAGUCUUCGGACGCUUUGGGAGCGGCCUGCGUAUGAUUAGUUUGUUGGUGAGGUAAUGGCUCACCAAGGACUACGAUCAUUAGCUGGUCUGAGAGGAUGAUCAGCCAGACUGGGACUGAGACACGGCCCAGACUCCUACGGGAGGCAGCAGUAGGGAAUUUUCCACAAUGGGCGAAAGCCUGAUGGAGCAACGCCGCGUGCAGGAGGAAGGCC